UGAGGAAUAUUGGUCAAUGGGCGAGAGCCUGAACCAGCCAAGUAGUGUGCAGGACGACGGCCCUAUGGGUUGUAAACUGCUUUUGUAUGGGGAUAAAGUCAAUCACGUGUGAUUGUUUGCAGGUACCAUACGAAUAAGGACCGGCUAAUUCCGUGCCAGCAGCCGCGGUAAUACGGAAGGUUCGGGCGUUAUCCGGAUUUAUUGGGUUUAAAGGGAGCGUAGGCUGGAGAUUAAGUGUGUUGUGAAAUGUAGACGCUCAACGUCUGACUUGCAGCGCAUACUGGUUUCCUUGAGUACGCACAACGUUGGCGGAAUUCGUCGUGUAGCGGUGAAAUGCUUAGAUAUGACGAAGAACUCCGAUUGCGAAGGCAGCUGACGGGAGCGCAACUGACGCUGAAGCUCGAAGGUGCGGGUAUCGAACAGGAUUAGAUACCCUGGUAGUCCGCACAGUAAACGAUGGAUGCCCGCUGUUGGUACCUGGUAUCAGCGGCUAAGCGAAAGCAUUAAGCAUCCCACCUGGGGGAGUACGCCGGCCACGGG
rnacentral:rRNA from 1 species